rnacentral:rRNA from 1 species
GAUGAACGCUGGCGGCGUGCCUAAUACAUGCAAGUCGAGCGAACGGACGAGAAGCUUGCUCCUCUGAUGUUAGCGGCGGACGGGUGAGUAACACGUGGAUAACCUACCUAUAAGACUGGGAUAACUUCGGGAAACCGGAGCUAAUACCGGAUGAUAUUUUGAACCGCAUGGUUCAAAAGUGAAAGACGGUCUUGCUGUCACUUAUAGAUGGAUCCGCGCUGCAUUAGCUAGUUGGUAAGGUAACGGCUUACCAAGGCAACGAUGCAUAGCCGACCUGAGAGGGUGAUCGGCCACACUGGAACUGAGACACGGUCCCGACUCCUACGGGAGGAAGCAGUAGGGAAUCUUCCGCAAUGGGCGAAAGCCUGACGGAGCAACGCCGCGUGAGUGAUGAAGGUCUUCGGAUCGUAAAACUCUGUUAUUAGGGAAGAACAAAUGUGUAAGUAACUGUGCACAUCUUGACGGUACCUAAUCAGAAAGCCACGGCUAACUACGUG